rnacentral:rRNA from 1 species
UACGUAGGGGGCAAGCGUUGUCCGGAUUUAUUGGGCGUAAAGAGCGUGUAGGCGGCCAGGUAGGUCCGUUGUGAAAACUCGAGGCUCAACCUCGAGACGCCGAUGGAAACCAUCUGGCUAGAGUCCGGAAGAGGAGAGUGGAAUUCCCGGUGUAGCGGUGAAAUGCGCAGAUAUCGGGAGGAACACCUGAGGCGAAGGCGGGCUACUGGGCCGAUACUGACGCUGAUGCGCGAAAGCCAGGGGAGCGAACAGG